GUAUAGUGCACUUGUACGGGCCAUCAGAUGCAAUAAUUCUACUGCUUAUAUCAUAAGUUGCAGGACUACAUCACAAGUUCGACGACAACUAAAGCAUGAAACAUCCAUCAAAAGCACAGACCGCUCCAGACUUCACAAACCUUUCAAAAAGUCAAAUAUAUGGCUACAAGAAAUAGUAACGCACAUCGAUUUAUAAGUCUACAAUGUCAAUGCAGGCAACAGGAGGCAAUAAAGUAGUUCGGUUGUUUAUUUUACAGGUGGAAAUUUCUACAUUUCAAGUAGAGCAACUAAUGCCUUGUUCUUCGUGAAGCUACUUCUCAUCAGAUCCUUACUGCCUACCCUGCACGACACCAAAAUGAAGAGGCAUCAGUGAUUAGCCACAGAUUAACAGUAUUAUAGCAAGACUACAGAUACAAUUUUUCAUAGGCAUAUUCCUCAGGGACCGCUGCUGCCAAAUGAGUGUGCGGAGAAAUUGGAACAGAAUAAGAUUGUCAUAGCUUGGGUUUGAUGUAUGCGUCAGGAUUUCCUUAUAAAUGAUUGAAUAAUGAUAAUAUAUGCUUGCACUUAUAUUUAACAACUUAGGAGGUUCAUUGCUCUAAUGGUUUACCAAACAGAUGUGGGUGAGCAUUUAAGAACAAAAAUUUAAUCCACUUAGGAGACAUGUGGAAACUGAAAUCUAACAGUCAACAUACAAACUUCAACCUCUCAGUGGGCAAGCACUACAGGCGUGAUAAAAGUAAUAUUCAUAGGUUUGAUCGAAGUACUAGGUCGCACCAUAAUUAUGCGAUUUAAGCUUUAUGGACAAAAGAUAUCAACAUUGAUCAACUUUAAUCCGAUACUUGUCCAUAGUGCCAGUAAAAAUCAUAUGACAAAUGCUUUUAUACCUGUCAGUUCCCUUGUUGUCCUUCACCUGGGCUAGGAUACUGAUCGGAAACCCCUUGUAAGUUAUCUCCUCCAUAUGCAGGCGCUGCACCCUGUCUGUUGUCUCCACCAUAACCAGGACCCCCUUGGUUACCUCCAGCAUAUCUCGAUCCAGACGGUUGCCCAUAAGCUGGAGGUCCAAAUGGCUUCCCAUAGGAUCCAGGUGCAGACGGUUGACCAUAAUUUCCAGGUGCAGGCGGUUGACCGUAAUUUCCAGGUGCAGGUGGUUGACCAUAAUUUCCAGGUGCUGAAGGGCCACCAGGCCUGAGAUCUCCUUCCUGUCCUUGCGAGAAACUCCUGCGCUCUUGUGGAUCUUGGAAACCUUGACCGGCUUCAUUUACACGCCCUUGGUACCCACCAGGUGCAUUGUAACCUGGACGGUCGGCGGAAUCAUUCCUCCCAUAACCUCUACCAUCUUGUCCAGCUUGUGUGUAAUUCUGCUGUGGAGCGUAGCCUCUUACUUCUUGCUGUGGGCGGGACCCUUGGAAGUUUCCUUGUGGUGGCGACCUGUUCUGGUAAUUUCCGUGAGGUGGAGGACUGUUCUGGUAAUUACCUUGCGGUGGAGGACUGUUUUCGUAAUUCCCACGAUAGUUGCGGUUUCUAUCAUUCCUUGACAGUUUGCUAUACUGAACAGGUGGUGGUCUUGGAGUUAUGACACCAUUCUCAUAUUUGU
rnacentral:lncRNA from 1 species